rnacentral:rRNA from 1 species
UUCUGACCCGUAAAACGAUCGCCAACUAGCGAUCCGCCGGUGGUAAUUACGCCCCGGCGGGGAGCUUCCCGGAAACGAAAGUCUUCCGGUUCCGGGGGAAGUAUGGUUGCAAAGCUGAAACUUAAAGGAAUUGACGGAAGGGCACCACCAGGAGUGGAGCUUGCGGCUUAAUUUGACUCAACACGGGGAAACUCACCCGGCCCGGACACCGUAAGGAUUGACAGAUUGAGAGCUCUUUCUUGAUUCGGUGGUUGGUGGUGCAUGGCCGUUCUUAGUUGGUGGAGCGAUUUGUCUGGUUUAUUCCGAUAACGAACGAGACUCUGGCCUACUAACUAGUGACAGGAUUAUUGCUGUCCUGGUUACUUCUUAGAGGGACAAGUGGUGUUCAGCCACACGAAAUUGAGCAAUAACAGGUCUGUGAUGCCCUUAGAUGUCCGGGGCUGCACGCGUGCUACACUGGAGGAAACAGCAUGCAAAACCAUUGCCGAGAGGCAUUGGUAAACCCGAGAAAAUCUUCCGUGAUCGGGAUCGGGAAUUGCAAUUAUUUCCCUUGAACGAGGAAUUCCCAGUAAGUGUGGGUCAUCAGCUCGCGUUG